rnacentral:rRNA from 1 species
GGCAACGAGCGAGACCACGUCCACAGUUGCCAGCAUACCCUCCGGGGUGGAUGGGUACACUGUGGAGACCGCCGCUGCUAAAGCGGAGGAAGGAGUGGGCAACGGUAGGUCAGUAUGCCCCGAAUCUCCCGGGCUACACGCGGGCUACAAUGGUUGGUACAAUGGGCAUCUACCCCGAAAGGGGAAGGAAAUCUCUUAAAGCCAAUCGUAGUUCGGAUCGAGGGCUGCAACUCGCCCUCAUGAAGCUGGAAUCCGUAGUAAUCGCGUUUCAACAGAACGCGGUGAAUACGUCCCUGCUCCUU